CUGCUGGACCUGUGUUAUCCGAUUAGCUCUGUCCAAUCAUCAAGAAUUAGAUCCUCAACUAACAAUUUUACAGUUGGCCCUCAAACAAUUAACAUGCAUCCUACAUUCACUAAAAUUGAAGAUGCAUACGUUUAUUCAAGAGAGUUUGAAGAUAUUAGAAUUGCAACUUUGACCAAUAAAAUUGAAGCCUUAGAAUUUGAAAAACAUAUCCAAUUUAACCAAGUGCUAGCACCCAUGUGCAUUGGAUGCGAUGCACUAGAUCAUGUUGUGGAGGAGAGUCUUUAUUUGAUGAACCCAACCCAAACUGAAUUCAUAUAGGAGAGCGCAUUCAAUGAAAGCUACAUAAAUGAACCUUAUGCACCAAUCUAUAACCUAGGUUUGGAAAGUCAUCCCAAUUUUACAUGGUCACAAGAUGCAAUAUUAGGAGCCCAUAAUUUUUAUCAAUCCUAUCUAAAGCCCAACCAGAUACUGAAUGAUCAACCAG
rnacentral:lncRNA from 1 species